CAUUAGUGGGAACAAUUUCUGACUACUUUUGAAAAUUACGAGCUCUCUGCUGCUGCCGUGCUGUGUGUAGCCGUUUCAAACUUAUUCCCUAUGCACUUUGGCCCCCUCCCCGCCCCCCUCUUUCCUUUUCUUUCUCGUAAUUCGUGCACCUCGGGAAAACCCCUCUUCUUAAACCCUCACAAAUCUUCAAAACAAGAACUAGUCUUCACUGUUGAAAACUCAGUGUCUUUAAUGGUAGUACAAGACAUAUAAAGAAGAAAGAACAAAGCUUAAAGCUUUAAGUUUUUUUUUUCUUUUCAAGAAGAGAGAGAGUGUGUGUGUGUGUGUUAAAAUCAGUUUGACUAAUUAGGGUUUGUUUGGACCAACUCUAAGUUCUUGGCUAUGGCAUUACUGCUACUGCAUUUUUCAGGCAGGUGUUUUUUUCCUCAAGAAAGGUUAGAUAGAGAAGUAGGAGCAGAGCUUGUUUCGGAGUUUUUGACGUGUUCAACUGUUAAACCUGGUUGAAUAUUCUGUUCCUUGUGCUUUUCUGGAACAUGUGAACUUUUGUAAGUACAUUGUUCCUUAAGUAGGGAAUGAAGCCAUCGGUCCGCGAAGCAUAUCAAGCUUUGUAUCAUAUUUUGACAAUAGUAGCAAUUAUUCAUAGUGGAUGAAGUAUUUUUUCUUGCAUAUAUAAGCUACUCAGGUUUAUAUUUUCUGAGUUUUGAUCAAUCUGUUACCAUUCAAACUUCAAUGAAAGUCUAAUGCUCAAUUAGUUUGAAUGUC